CAGAAUUUCAGAGGAGCAGAACUUUGCUAAGUUAGUGGGGGUCAGGGGAAGUUUCACACAGCUUAAUUAAAACAAAAUAUCACAGGUGCAGUCUUCUGUUUACAAGGCAAUAAAGAUAACAUCAUUGCAAACUCACAUGGGAUGCAGCAGUCAGUCAUGCAUUAACUGAGGGGACUCCUAAGGGAGAAGGGGAAGGCAACCAUCUGGACUUUACACAAAUGGAGUCAGGUUGGCUAUCACAUUCCCAACUCCUCUAAGUAUGAUGUCAAAGCACUGACUUAUCUUGAGCCUCCUGAGUGGGUAGGGAAUUAUAGUAGGUUCUCAUGUACAACAGUUUCACAGAGGCUGCACACUGUGUUUAACAGAGGCUAUACACUGUUUUACAAAGUUAAUUAUCUAAUUAAGAACACAAGGCCCAGUCAGGAGCCCGAGGAAAAUGAGGAUGAGGACAACAGUGUAUGGUCCCUUCCAGAGCAGGGUGAGUCUCUUUCUGGAAAUCCUUGAUGAGUAUGGUGUCUCCCAGCUGGAAUGAAGGUCAGGGGACAGAGCCGGGUAAGGGUAAGGCACAGUGUACACUGGCAUGGACAGAAGCCUGUACCUGUUCAAGGGACUGAAGGUACUUUAACAGAGACUGGUUAGAAGAUUCCUCUAGCUUCUCAGUUUUUUACUUUGGGGAGCAGGGAAGGAGGCCUUUUAAACAUAAGAAGUAAAGCCCACUUUAUAAAGGGUGCAUCUCACUCGAAGGAUGGCCAGGGGCAGCAGGUUGACCCACCCUUCACCGGUUUCUAAAAUCAAUUUGGUCAAAGUAGAUCUUAGGGUUCGAUUCAUUCGUUCCAUUUGCUGUGAGCUUUGAGGUUGGUAGGCACAGUGGAGUUUCCAAUUUAUACCCAGUGCCCUAUUGACUGACUUAUAGAGGCUAUGAAGGCAGGGCCAUUGUCACAUCCAAUGGACACCGGUAUCCCAAACCUGGGGAUCAAUUCCUGGAGCAGCUUUUUCCACCAGAGUGGCAGUUUUCUGCUGAGCAGCAUAGAUUUCCACCCAACCUGAGACAGUAUCAAUGAAUACCAGAAGAUAUCAAUAGUCGCCAGCCUGCAGCUUGAUCUCUGUGAAGUCCACUUUCCAAUGUUAGCCCCGGACUCAUUCUCCUGAAUUGAAUUCCAAGGGGUGCAGAUGGGCACUGGUGAGGAUUUACUUACACACAGGCUGGCCACCAAGGAGAGGCCUGGAGAGCCUAGAAGCUAGAGAGCUAGAGAGCCUGGCACUAGAAGCUCAUCUAUCUUGGAGCCCCCAAGGUGCAUGACUAAAUGUAGCUGCUGAAUGAGUUGUCUCCCUUGUGCCUGAGGGAGGUAGAUAUGGCCAUCUGGACAUUUCCACCAGCCUUGGGGGUCCUUUUUUGCUUGCAACUGGUUUGAUUAUUUGUCUUCCUCUUUAUUGUAAAUGGGACUAGCCAGGAGCAGAGGGGGAGGUAGACUUAUAGCAGGCAGAAUGAUUAAAGGCUUAAAUGGUCUUAGGUCUGCCUCCCUGGUGGCUCAGUCUGCGGGCUGGUUUCCUUUUGUUUCUGGAGUAUUG
ensembl:lncRNA